AGAUAUAAGACGGUAAGGAGAUCAAUCGAGUCAAAUAAACGCAAUAAUUUGCAAUAGUAUUGUCUUCCGAAUAUAUUAAUAUUUCAUAGUUUUGUAGCAUGUUAGAUCGAAAUUUCGAGAACUAAAAAUCGGGAGUGCUGAACAAAGUAUCGCGCAUUUUUGUGCGGGAGUGUCGUCAAAAUGUCGCGCGUAUAAAUCAACAAAUUUUGAUAAUGCUGACCAAACUGGAAAUAGGCCCAGGGAGCGUCGUCGUCGAAACAAUUCUGCCAUCAAUCCAACUGAGCAAUCGUGGGAUGAAUUUCAAUGCAGAAAAGCGUUUUCAAAAUGUCCUACGUAUAAAUCAACAAAUUUUGAUAAUUCUGAUCAAAUUGAAAGCAGGAGCAGACUCAGGGGGCAUCAACGUCGAAGCAAUUCUAGAAUCAAUCCACCUGAGCAAUUCUGCGGUAUUCAAAUUUUAAAGGAGA